UUGGACAAAGCAUGUAUUGAAAUUAAAGGAAGAAGAGAAACAAAAAUUUAACAAUGCUGAACGCAGUGACAAGCGCUGGGUUUUUGUAGAUGUCCUGAAAAGGAAACACAACCAAGUGGGCAAAAUGCUUCUCCAGACAUUUCUUAAUGUGGACUCAGGCAGCCACCAUGGUGAAGCUAAUUUGGAAAUGGAGGAACCAGAAGAAUCAGUGGACACUCUCAAGCUUUGUUCCUCCGAGGAGUUCACAAGGCUGUGCAGAGAAAAGAAGCAAGAAGUACUGUCCUUUGCUGUUGGCAUAGAGACACCAAAACAAUUCUUCAUACUAAAGACAGUUUCUUAAGCCUCUGAUCCCAAGGGAUAGUGAUAUAACUGCUUUAAAUUAUGAUUUUUAUUGUGAACAAAUUCAAUUUUUAAUUCUUUUAAUUUUUUUAAUUCAAUGAUAAAAAUCAUGGUGUUCAUUUAGUUCAUUAUUUUCUUCUUUUUUCUUCUCUUUCUCUCUCUUUUUUCUUCUUUUUUUAUUUUCUUCUAUUCAUAAAUUACAAAAAUUUUAUCUGCAGUCAUGGAAUCAAAAUAUAAAAUAAUACAGUUGACUAAUAGUUACCUGUAGACUGGUUUAGAAGAGCACACAUAGUGAAGGUUUAUUAUAACAGUAUACAAAAUAUAAUAUUGACAAUAUUAUACAGUAAUGUUACUAAAUGCACUUUGUUUCAUAAUUUUCUUGACAUGAAUUGAUCAUAUCUUUGGAUUUUAUAGCUAAGCUAACCCUUACAAUCUAGGAAAUUUGACUUUAGCCCUUGAGAAGGACAUAGAUAAUAUCUUUCAGUUACAAGUUGAGCAAUAUGGAAGCUAUAUGAGAUCUUAAUAAAGCAAUGUUUAUGAUAGUCAAAUAGAAUUUCAAAAACCUCAAGUAAGCCAAAUUCAUUGUAUGUCUAUUUUCUACAGAUUUACCCAAUAAAGGAGACCAAUGGCCGUACUCGAAAGGCUCUUAUCAUAUGCAAUACAGAGUUCAAACAUCUCUCCCUGAGAUAUGGGGCUAACAUUGACAUUAGUGGCAUGAAAGGCCUUCUUGAAGAGUUGGGCUAUGAUGUGGUGGUGAAAGAGGAGCUUACGGCUGAGGGCAUGGAAUCAGAAAUGAAAGACUUUGCUGCACUCUCAGAGCACCAAACAUCAGACAGCACAUUCCUGGUGUUAAUGUCUCAUGGCACAUUGCAGGGCCUUUGUGGAACAAUGCACAGUGAAGCAACUCCAGAUGUGCUAUUAUAUGAUACUAUCUAUCAGAUAUUUAACAAUUGUCACUGUCCAGGUCUACGAGACAAACCCAAA
rnacentral:lncRNA from 1 species